rnacentral:sRNA from 1 species
GUGCACCGCGCGCUGCCCGAGGCGCAGGUCAACCAGAAUCAAGAUGUCUGGGACUGAGGAAGCAAUUCUUGGAGGACGUGACAGCCAUCCUGCUGCUGGCGGCGGCUCGGUGUUAUGCUUUGGACAGUGCCAGUACACAGCAGAAGAGUACCAGGCCAUCCAGAAGGCCCUGAGGCAGAGGCUGGGCCCAGAAUACAUAAGUAGCCGCAUGGCUGGCGGAGGCCAGAAGGUGUGCUACAUUGAGGGUCAUCGGGUAAUUAAUCUGGCCAAUGAGAUGUUUGGUUACAAUGGCUGGGCACACUCCAUCACGCAGCAGAAUGUGGGUGAGUAUGCUCUCCAGCAGUGGGGACUUCUGCACUGUCCAGCUCCUGCUGAAAGUCUGCUGUGGGUGAGGAGGUAAGGUAGGUGGACUCAGCUGCCAGCAGGAGGAAUGGUUGUGGCCCAGCGGUCAGUGUCCUCUUCAACUUGCUCUCUUUCCCACUCCUAGAUUUUGUUGACCUCAACAAUGGCAAGUUCUACGUGGGAGUCUGUGCAUUUGUGAGGGUCCAGCUGAAGGUGAGGGGGAUGGAGUAGACCUGCUGCCCGGAAGGAUCAGUGGGUGGUAGGAGAAGGAUGGUUCAUAUCAUGAAGAUGUUGGUUAUGGUGUUAGUGAGGGCCUCAAGUCCAAGGCUUUAUCUUUGGAGAAGGCAAGGAAGGAGGCGGUGACAGACGGGCUGAAGCGAGCCCUCAGGAGUUUUGGGAAUGCACUUGGAAACUGUAUUCUGGACAAAGACUACCUGAGAUCACUAAAUAAGCUUCCAUGCCAGUUGCCUCUUGAAGUGGAUUUAACUAAAGCGAAGAGACAAGAUUUUGAACCGUCUGUGGAAGAGGCAAGAUACAACAGCUGCCGACCGAACAUGGCCCUGGGACACCCACAACUACAGGAGGCGACCUCCCCUUCCAGACCAAGCCAUGCUGUGAUACAGGCGGACAAGGACUGCAGCUCCCGCCGUGGCUGUUGCUCAGGAGCCCUCGUCCCCGCUGUCCUCUCAUGCAGAAGCCUGACCUCAUCCGCCGUGGAGAGCGAGGCCACGCACCAGCGGAAGCUCCGGCAGAAGCAGCUGCAGCAGCAGUUCCGGGAGCGGAUGGAGAAGCAGCACGUUCGAGUCUCCACGCCGUCAGCUGAGAAGAGUGAGGCAGCGCCUCCGGCCCCUCCUCUGACGCACAGCACUCCUGUAACCGUCUCAGAACCACUCCCGGAGAAAGACUUCCUUGCAGGAGUGACUCAAGAAUUAAUCAAGACUCUUGAAGACAACUCUGAAAAGUGGGCUGUGGCUCCCGAUGCAGGGGAUGGUGUGGUCAGGCCCUCGUCUACAGCAGACCCAGCCCAGGCCUCUGACACACUAGCCUUGAACAACCAGAUGGUGACCCAGAACAGGACUCCACACAGCCUUUGCCACCAGAAACCACAAGCAAAAUCUGGAUCUUGGGACCUCCAAACUUAUAGCGCCGACCAACGCACAACAGGAAACUGGGAAUCUCAUAGGAAGAGCCAGGACAUGAAGAAAAGGAAAUAUGAUCCAUCUUAACUGAGGCUCAGGCCACAUGAUUGGACUCUGUCACAAAGGGACUUUGGAAAACUACUUUUUGGUCAUGAAAUUGUUCAUCGCUCCUGGAGAAUGAACGUCAUUGCGAUUUAUCUUGCUUCAUUCUGAACCUUAUCAAGAGGAUCUGACUGAGAGCCCACUGCAGUUAGAGCUGAGCACUUUUGAAAAGCUUGUCCAUCACUCUAGUAGGGAGAGGCUCUGGACAGAUGAAUACCUUUUCUUCGGCUUGUGAGGCUUCCCACUAUUUAUUACUGAACUAUUAUGUUAAUAAAGAUGGACAUUUUAGGAAUCACCAAUGGCUCCUUGCCCUCGAGCAAUAUAGGCCAGACUUGGUCCUAAGCACCUGCCUCAGCAAUUGUCUACAUUCGGCUGUUUUGCAUAACGUCUGCCUUCUUUCCUUUACGGUCCAUGCCUUUAAUGUUGUCCACAUUAAGCACUGUGGAUCACGACAGGAAAAAGGUUGGAGCAGUGCUUUUCACUACUUUGUAUCAAUCCAGGCUACAAUCUUCAUUUAAUAUAAAUAAUUUAUGGAUUUAUGACAUUACAAUCCUGCAUUGUUUCAAGAUGGACAUUUUUUCCUAAGGAAGGAAAUAAUCAAGACCACGAAAAAAGCUGUUUUUUUUUUUUUUUUUUUGAGACGGGGUCUGGCUGUGUUGCCCUGACUGGAGUUCAGUGGUGCAAACACAGCUCUCUCCACAACCUCCUGGGCUCAAGUGAUACUCCCACCUCUGCCUUACAAAAUACAGGGAUUACUGGUGUGAGCCACUGUGUCUGUCUGGCCAGAAAAGGCAUUUUUGAGAAAGCAAAUCGUAUACCUUAUUAACAAAAUAGAAUAUAUAUAUAUUGCUUAUCUGAAAUGCUCGAAA